UACGUAGGUGGCAAGCGUUGUUCGGAAUUACUGGGCGUAAAGCGCGCGUAGGCGGCUCUUCAAGUCAGGCGUGAAAGCCCCGAGCUUAACUCGGGAACUGCGUUUGAUACUGUCGAGCUAGAGUGUGGAAGGGGCGAUUGGAAUUCCGUGUGUAGCGGUGAAAUGCGUAGAUAUACGGAGGAACACCAGAGGCGAAGGCGGAUCGCUGGGCCAACACUGACGCUGAGGCGCGAAAGCGUGGGGAGCGAACAGG
rnacentral:rRNA from 1 species